rnacentral:rRNA from 1 species
UGGGGAAUCUUGCACAAUGGGGGAAACCCUGAUGCAGCGACGCCGCGUGAGCGAUGAAGGUUUUCGAAUCGUAAAGCCCUGUCUUAUGGGAAGAUAAUGACGGUACCAUGGGAGGAAGCCCCGGCUAACUACGUGCCAGCAGCCGCGGUAAUACGUAGGGGGCGAGCGUUGUCCGGAAUUACUGGGCGUAAAGGGUUCGCAGGCGGCAUGGCAAGUCCGAUGUAAAAGGCGAAGGCUCAACCUUCGUAAGCAUCGGAAACUGUCAGGCUUGAGUGAAGGAGCGGCAAGUGGAAUUCCUAGUGUAGCGGUGGAAUGCGUAGAUAUUAGGAGGAAUACCGGUGGCGAAGGCGACUUGCUGGACUUCAACUGACGCUGAGGAACGAAAGCGUGGGUAGCAAACAGG